GUCUACGGCCGUACCACCCUGAAGGCACCCAAUCUCUUCUGAUCUCAGAAGCUAAGCAGGGUCUGGCCUGGUUAAUACUUGCAUGGGAGAAUAGCAGCUGGGAUGGAGGCA
rnacentral:rRNA from 1 species